rnacentral:rRNA from 1 species
CCCUUAGAUGUUCUGGGCCGCACGCGCGCUACACUGAUGCAUUCAGCGAGUCUAAAACCUGGUCUGAUAGGGCUGGGUAAUCUUUUGAAAGUGCAUCGUGAUUGGGAUAGAUGAUUGCAAUUCUUCAUCUUCAACGAGGAAUGCCUAGUAAACGCAAGUCAUCAGCUUGCAUUGAUUACGUCCCUGCCCUUUGUACACACCGCCCGUCGCUCCUACCGAUUGAAUGAUCCGAUGAAUACCAUGGAUUGAGAGUACGAAUGGGUUCGCUCAUUUCUGCUGCUCGAGAAGUGGAGUAAAUCUUAUCAUUUAGAGGAAGGAGAAGUCGUAACA